rnacentral:rRNA from 1 species
UACGUAGGGUGCAAGCGUUAAUCGGAAUUACUGGGCGUAAAGCGUGCGCAGGCGGUUUUGUAAGACUGUCGUGAAAUCCCCGGGCUUAACCUGGGAAUGGCGAUGGUGACUGCAAGGCUAGAGUUUGGCAGAGGGGGGUAGAAUUCCACGUGUAGCAGUGAAAUGCGUAGAGAUGUGGAGGAACACCGAUGGCGAAGGCAAUCCCCUGGGCCUGCACUGACGCUCAUGCACGAAAGCGUGGGGAGCAAACAGG